CCACAGAGAAAGCGUUAAGCGCUCCACCUGGGGAGUACGCCGGCAACGGUGAAACUCAAAGGAAUUGACGGGGGCCCGCACAAGCGGAGGAACAUGUGGUUUAAUUCGAUGAUACGCGAGGAACCUUACCCGGGCUCAAACGUUGCAGGAAGGGUGUCUGAAAGGAUGCCCGUCUACGGACCUGCGACGAGGUGCUGCAUGGUUGUCGUCAGCUCGUGCCGUGAGGUGUCGGCUUAAGUGCCAUAACGAGCGCAACCCCUACCGCCAGUUGCCAACAGGCAAAGCUGGGGACUCUGGCGGGACUGCCGGCGCAAGCUGCGAGGAAGGCGGGGAUGACGUCAAAUCAGCACGGCCCUUACGUCCGGGGCGACACACGUGUUACAAUGGCAGGUACAGCGGGAAGCCACCUGGCGACAGGGAGCGGAACCCGAAAGCCUGUCUCAGUUCGGAUUGGAGUCUGCAACCCGACUCCAUGAAGCUGGAUUCGCUAGUAAUCGCGCAUCAGCCACGGCGCGGUGAAUACGUUCCCGGGCCUUGUACACACCGCCCGUCAAGCCAUGGGAGUCGGGAGUGCCUGAAGUGCGUGAGCGCGAGCAGCGCCCUAGGGCAAAACCGAUGACUGGGGCUAAGUCGUAACAAGGUA
rnacentral:rRNA from 1 species